rnacentral:rRNA from 1 species
GCAAUUAUACCGCGAAACUGCGAAUGGCUCAUUAUAUAAGUUAUCGUUUAUUUGAUAGUACCUUACUACUUGGAUAACCGUGGUAAUUCUAGAGCUAAUACAUGCUAAAAAUCCCGACUUCGGAAGGGAUGUAUUUAUUAGAUUAAAAACCAAUGCCCUUCGGGGCUUUCUGGUGAUUCAUGAUAACUUCUCGAAUCGCAUGGCCUUGCGCCGGCGAUGGUUCAUUCAAAUUUCUUCCCUAUCAACUUUCGAUGUUUGGGUAUUGGCCAAACAUGGUUGCAACGGGUAACGGAGGGUUAGGGCUCGACCCCGGAGAAGGAGCCUGAGAAACGGCUACUACAUCCAAGGAAGGCAGCAGGCGCGCAAAUUACCCAAUCCCGACACGGGGAGGUAGUGACAAUAAAUACUGAUACAGGGCUCUUUUGGGUCUUGUAAUUGGAAUGAGUACAAUUUAAAUCCCUUAACGAGGAACAAUUGGAGGGCAAGUCUGGUGCCAGCAGCCGCGGUAAUUCCAGCUCCAAUAGCGUAUAUUAAAGUUGUUGUGGUUAAAAAGCUCGUAGUUGAACCUUGGGCCUGGCUGGCCGGUCCGCCUCACCGCGUGUACUGGUCCGGCCGGGCCUUUCCCUCUGUGGAACCCCAUGCCCUUCACUGGGUGUGGCGGGGAAACAGGACUUUUACUUUGAAAAAAUUAGAGUGCUCCAGGCAGGCCUAUGCUCGAAUACAUUAGCAUGGAAUAAUAGAAUAGGACGUGUGGUUCUAUUUUGUUGGUUUCUAGGACCGCCGUAAUGAUUAAUAGGGACAGUCGGGGGCAUCAGUAUUCAAUUGUCAGAGGUGAAAUUCUUAGAUUUAUUGAAGACUAACUACUGCGAAAGCAUUUGCCAAGGAUGUUUUCAUUAAUCAGGAACGAAAGUUAGGGGAUCGAAGACGAUCAGAUACCGUCGUAGUCUUAACCAUAAACUAUGCCGACUAGGGAUCGGACGAUGUUAUUUUUUGACUCGUUCGGCACCUUACGAGAAAU